rnacentral:rRNA from 2 species
UUUAUGGAGAGUUUGAUCCUGGCUCAGGAUGAACGCUGGCGGCGUGCCUAAUACAUGCAAGUCGAGCGAACAGAUAAGGAGCUUGCUCCUUUGACGUUA